rnacentral:rRNA from 1 species
GGUUAAGUUAGAAAGGGCGCACGGUGGAUGCCUUGGCACUAGGAGCCGAUGAAGGACGGGACGAACACCGAUAUGCUUCGGGGAGCUGUAAGCAAGCUUUGAUCCGGAGAUUUCCGAAUGGGGAAACCCACCACUCGUAAUGGAGUGGUAUCCAUAUCUGAAUACAUAGGAUAUGAGAAGGCAGACCCGGGGAACUGAAACAUCUAAGUACCCGGAGGAAGAGAAAGCAAAUGCGAUUCCCUGAGUAGCGGCGAGCGAAACGGGACCAGCCCAAACCAAGAGGCUUGCCUCUUGGGGUUGUAGGACACUCUGUACGGAGUUACAAAGGAACGAGGUAGAUGAAGAGGUCUGGAAAGGCCCGCCAUAGAAGGUAACAGCCCUGUAGUCAAAACUUCGUUCUCUCCUGAGUGGAUCCUGAGUACGGCGGAACACGUGAAAUUCCGUCGGAAUCCGGGAGGACCAUCUCCCAAGGCUAAAUACUCCCUAGUGACCGAUAGUGAACCAGUACCGUGAGGGAAAGGUGAAAAGCACCCCGGAAGGGGAGUGAAAGAGAUCCUGAAACCGUGUGCCUACAAGUAGUCAGAGCCCGUUAACGGGUGAUGGCGUGCCUUUUGUAGAAUGAACCGGCGAGUUACGAUCCCGUGCAAGGUUAAGCAGAAGAUGCGGAGCCGCAGCGAAAGCGAGUCUGAAUAGGGCGAAUUGAGUACGUGGUCGUAGACCCGAAACCAGGUGAUCUACCCAUGUCCAGGGUGAAGUUCAGGUAACACUGAAUGGAGGCCCGAACCCACGCACGUUGAAAAGUGCGGGGAUGAGGUGUGGGUAGGGGUGAAAUGCCAAUCGAACCUGGAGAUAGCUGGUUCUCUCCGAAAUAGCUUUAGGGCUAGCCUCAAGGUAAGAGUCUCGGAGGUAGAGCACUGAUUGGACUAGGGGCCCCUACCGGGUUACCGAAUUCAGUCAAACUCCGAAUGCCGAUGACUUAUCCUUGGGAGUCAGACUGCGAGUGAUAAGAUCCGUAGUCGAAAGGGAAACAGCCCAGACCGCCAGCUAAGGUCCCAAAGUAUACGUUAAGUGGAAAAGGAUGUGGAGUUGCUUAGACAACCAGGAUGUUGGCUUAGAAGCAGCCACCAUUUAAAGAGUGCGUAAUAGCUCACUGGUCGAGUGACUCUGCGCCGAAAAUGUACCGGGGCUAAACGUAUCACCGAAGCUGCGGACUGUUCUUCGAACAGUGGUAGGAGAGCGUUCUAAGGGCUGUGAAGCAAGACCGGAAGGACUUGUGGAGCGCUUAGAAGUGAGAAUGCCGGUAUGAGUAGCGAAAGAGGGGUGAGAAUCCCCUCCACCGAAUGCCUAAGGUUUCCUGAGGAAGGCUCGUCCGCUCAGGGUUAGUCGGGACCUAAGCCGAGGCCGAAAGGCGUAGGCGAUGGAUAACAGGUUGAUAUUCCUGUACCACCUCCUCACCAUUUGAGCAAUGGGGGGACGCAGGAGGAUAGGGUAAGCGCGGUAUUGGAUAUCCGCGUCCAAGCAGUUAGGCUGGGAAAUAGGCAAAUCCGUUUCCCGUGAAGGCUGAGCUGUGAUGGCGAGCGAAUUAUAGUAGCGAAGUUCCUGAUUCCACACUGCCAAGAAAAGCCUCUAGCGAGGUGAGAGGUGCCCGUACCGCAAACCGACACAGGUAGGCGAGGAGAGAAUCCUAAGGUGAUCGAGAGAACUCUCGUUAAGGAACUCGGCAAAAUGACCCCGUAACUUCGGGAGAAGGGGUGCUCUGUUAGGGUGCAAGCCCGAGAGAGCCGCAGUGAAUAGGCCCAGGCGACUGUUUAGCAAAAACACAGGUCUCUGCGAAGCCGUAAGGCGAAGUAUAGGGGCUGACGCCUGCCCGGUGCUGGAAGGUUAAGAGGAGCGCUUAGCGUAAGCGAAGGUGCGAAUUGAAGCCCCAGUAAACGGCGGCCGUAACUAUAACGGUCCUAAGGUAGCGAAAUUCCUUGUCGGGUAAGUUCCGACCCGCACGAAAGGCGCAACGAUCUGGCACUGUCUCAACGAGAGACUCGGUGAAAUUAUAGUACCUGUGAAGAUGCAGGUUACCCGCGACAGGACGGAAAGACCCCGUGGAGCUUUACUGCAGCCUGAUAUUGAAUGUUGGUACAGCUUGUACAGGAUAGGUAGGAGCCUUGGAAACCGGAGCGCCAGCUUCGGUGGAGGCAUCGGUGGGAUACUACCCUGGCUGUAUUGACCUUCUAACCCGCCGCCCUUAUCGGGCGGGGAGACAGUGUCAGGUGGGCAGUUUGACUGGGGCGGUCGCCUCCUAAAAGGUAACGGAGGCGCCCAAAGGUUCCCUCAGAAUGGUUGGAAAUCAUUCGCAGAGUGUAAAGGCACAAGGGAGCUUGACUGCGAGACCUACAAGUCGAGCAGGGACGAAAGUCGGGCUUAGUGAUCCGGUGGUUCCGCAUGGAAGGGCCAUCGCUCAACGGAUAAAAGCUACCCCGGGGAUAACAGGCUUAUCUCCCCCAAGAGUCCACAUCGACGGGGAGGUUUGGCACCUCGAUGUCGGCUCAUCGCAUCCUGGGGCUGUAGUCGGUCCCAAGGGUUGGGCUGUUCGCCCAUUAAAGCGGUACGCGAGCUGGGUUCAGAACGUCGUGAGACAGUUCGGUCCCUAUCCGUCGCGGGCGCAGGAAAUUUGAGAGGAGCUGUCCUUAGUACGAGAGGACCGGGAUGGACGCACCGCUGGUGUACCAGUUGUUCUGCCAAGGGCAUCGCUGGGUAGCUAUGUGCGGACGGGAUAAGUGCUGAAAGCAUCUAAGCAUGAAGCCCCCCUCAAGAUGAGAUUUCCCAUUCCGCAAGGAAGUAAGAUCCCUGAAAGAUGAUCAGGUUGAUAGGUCUGAGGUGGAAGUGUGGCGACACAUGGAGCUGACAGAUACUAAUCGAUCGAGGACUUAACCAA